CUGACAACUUUAUUAGAAUGAACCCCGGUAUACAUAUAUCGUUAUCGAAAGAAAAGAAGUUGAAAUUUUGCUGUGAAGACUCCCUUGCUAUUUUCGAUGAAUCAAAACAACUGUGAAACCAACCGAAACCCAAUAUCUAGUUGUCAGUGAGCGGAGCAAAUUUCCAUUGAUGCCCUCAUGGGUUCUUCCGAGCCUUUCAACAGUCCCCUAAGUUCCCGGAGAAAUGGCAUCGCUCCGCAGUAACAAUAUGCCUGCCUUCAAUGUACAUCUAUAGACUGUCUCCAGUCAUGACAGG